UACGUAGGGGGCAAGCGUUGUCCGGAUUUAUUGGGCGUAAAGAGCGUGUAGGCGGCCGUACAGGUCAGCUGUGAAAACUCGAGGCUCAACCUCGAGACGUCGGUUGAAACCGUACGGCUAGAGUCCGGAAGAGGAGAGUGGAAUUCCCGGUGUAGCGGUGAAAUGCGCAGAUAUCGGGAAGAACACCAGUGGCGAAGGCGGCUUCCUGGCCUGUAACUGACGCUGAGACGCGAAAGCGUGGGGAGCGAACCGG
rnacentral:rRNA from 1 species